rnacentral:rRNA from 1 species
CUUAGAGUUUGAUCCUGGCUCAGAACGAACGCUGGCGGCAGGCCUAAUACAUGCAAGUCGAACGCCCCUUCGGGGGAGUGGCGGACGGGUGAGUAACGCGUGGGAACCUACCCAGGAGUUCGGAAUAACGUAUGGAAACGUGCGCUAAUACCGAAUACGCCCUACGGGGGAAAGUUUUUCGCUCUUGGAUGGGCCCGCGUCGGAUUAGCUAGUUGGUGAGGUAAAAGCUCACCAAGGCGACGAUCCGUAGCUGGUCUGAGAGGAUGAUCAGCCACACUGGGACUGAGACACGGCCCAGACUCCUACGGGAGGCAGCAGUAGGGAAUAUUGGACAAUGGGCGCAAGCCUGAUCCAGCCAUGCCGCGUGGAUGACGAAGGCCUUAGGGUUGUAAAAUCCUUUCGCUAGGGAAGAUAAUGACGGUACCUAGUAAAGAAGCCCCGGCUAAUUUCGUGCCAGCAGCCGCGGUAAUACGAAAGGGGCUAGCGCUGUUCGGAAUUACUGGGCGUAAAGCGGGUGUAGGCGGAUUGGUCAGUUGGAGGUGAAAGCCCAGGGCUCAACCCUGGAAAUGCCUUCAAUACUGCCAGUCUUGAGUUCAGGAGAGGUGAGCGGAAUUCCGAGUGUAGAGGUGAAAUUCGUAGAUAUUCGGAGGAACACCAGAGGCGAAGGCGGCUCACUGGACUGAUACUGACGCUGAGACCCGAAAGCGUGGGGAGCAAACAGGAUUAGAUACCCUGGUAGUCCACGCCGUAAACGAUGAGGGCUAGUUGUCGGGCGGCAUGCCGCUCGGUGACGCAGCUAACGCAUUAAGCCCUCCGCCUGGGGAGUACGGUCGCAAGA